GCACCUAUAGCUUAACUGGAUAGAGCGUCGCCCUCCGGAGGCGGAUGCGGGGGUUCGAGUCCCUCUAGGUGUGCCA
rnacentral:tRNA from 1 species